AUACCCACAAGUCCAAACGGCAAACACCAAUCUCCCUCAGUGUCUUCCCAAACGUGAGAGAGGGAGGGUGUCCGCCGCGUUGCUCCCUGUCCUUCCCUCCUCUCACUCGCUCCCUUCGCCUCCACGCUUCCACACUUAGUCGCUCUCUCUCACUCUCUCACUCACCCUUCAGCGCCUCCGUCAGUGGGAGAGUGCGUGCGUGAGAGAGGAGAGUUUUAAGGUGUUUUAGCGAGUUUUUGUUAAUUUGAGUGCGUUUUGAGUGUUUUGCGUGUGUUUGUGGUGGUGUGGGUUACUGCUACUGCUGCUGCUACUGCUACUACUGCUACUGAUUGUUAGAGAGCGAAAGAAGAAACCCACUGACUCCCUGACUACCUGACUGACCGACUCCCUGACUGGCUGGCUGACUGAAGUGUGAGCCGCGCAGUGGAUAUAAGCGACGAGAAGUGACUUGCAGCCUACGUUAUUGAAAUUAUACUAAAAGAUUCGUUCCAACAGUGACAUGGAGAGAUGCUAAGUUUCCUGUGUUGUCCUCUUCGCUUUCCUCCUGCAGACAGUUGAAGGACCAGAACGCAACACUGAAGGAAGGAGAGCCCAUUAGAUACUACACACGCUUUGAACAAUUACUUCGAGGCGAUACGUACUGAUAUAUUAGAUUCAGAGUACAAAGGUUACGGAAUAUAGGCAGGAUUUUUUGGCGGGAGUUUCGAGGUGUUGCUGAACUAAACGACAAGGGAUUGGAGUGUUGGAGGUGAAUCUGAGACGCGACUCAAAUCCAAACGUUGACCAGGAAACUAAAGAGGAAGAGAUCACAUAUAGAAAAAGAAGGAGUGUGGGAAAUGUAAAAAUGUGACUUCGUUCUUUCUCAGAGUGGAAGUGAGAUGAGAGAGUUUGAGUGAUUGAAAGUGACUGAGUGGUGGUGUGUAAAGGAAAUAAAGAGAGAAAUAAAGGGGAGGGAUAAGACUAAUGAGAAGCUAAAAUAGACAAACUUUUUCAAUACAGAACGUGAUGGAAGAUAAGAAAGAAGGAAAUGUAAGGUACAGAAAUAAUGAACAAAUAAGGUGAACACUAAGAAAU